GACGUAGGAAGCAAGCGUUGCCCGGAAUUACUGGGCGUAAAGAGCUCGUAGGCGGGGGCGUGCGUCCGAAAGGAAAUCUCAAGGCUCAACCUUGGGGCUUUUUCGGAUACGGCGCUUCUUGAGGGUGAGAGAGGAAAGCGGAAUUCCAGGUGUAGCGGUGAAAUGCGUAGAUAUCUGGAGGAACACCAGCGGCGAAGGCGCUUUCUGGCUCAUUCCUGACGCUGAGGAGCGAAAGCGUGGGUAGCGGAACG
rnacentral:rRNA from 1 species